CUAAAGUUCCCCCCGUUUUCUUCUUCCCUAAACCUCUCAUAUCCAAUUUUUGUUUUAAUUUUCUGUACAAUGUUUGAUUCCGUUGCUCCUCCAACUAAAGGUUGUGAGGGAGAAGGAUCUCGGAAAGAUAAUACUUAAUUUUAUAUGGAUUUAAUAGUUUUAUUUUUAUUUUUUAAAAAAAAUUAUUGGAUGAAUUACUUAGUUUGAUUAUGAAAUUUAUAUUUUUUUCGUAGACAAAAAAACCAAGAGAAUAUCGGUGGGCCCAAAUGGUGAUUGAUGGCCGACUUAAACGAAUCAUCUAUGAUGAUUUCAGAGGAUCUAAGACGAAGGCGCAUGCCAUGCUUGGGCACAACGUUGGGGUACUAGUGCAGAACAAUUGUUCUACAAAGUGGGCAUCUUGGAAAAAGGUGCUGGAAGAGCUAAAGAAGUUUAUGUUGGAUGACUUAUCAGAUAAUUAUAUUAUUAAAACGAACCCAAACUUGAUGAAGUUCAUCGAUAACAUCUUCGAGGGGUUUGCGGAAGUGGAAGUAUGACGUCGAGCGAUAUGAUAGUGAAAUCCUUCAGGACCAGCGCAGUAGAAGUGUUAUUUAAUU